AUCGGUCGGGCGACGCAUCCCUCCUCCUCCCAGCGUCCCCGACAGGAUUGGCGGCCCUCCUCCUCCAAGGUCGCCGAUCGAGAUCGGAACGCCUGCCGGACCUCCUCCCCCGGCAGGCGUUUCUU
rnacentral:sRNA from 1 species